UUAUGUUUGCAAAGACGUGUGAAGCUUCUCAUUCAUCGAGAAUUUGAAAAACAGUUCGUAUUUACAUUUUGAACAUAUCGCACACAAAAAUAAAAACUCUCCCAGAAACUUUUCGUAUUUAACAUUAUUCAAAACAUUGACAAGGAGUUUCACUGUGAGAACAGAGUUUUAAGUGUAAACUAAAUUAAGAGUUGACAAAAAAGCGAAAUAAAGAGAAUAUAAUUUAAACGAUUGACAACUGAUAAUAUUCACUAAUAAAAAAAUAGUUAGCACUUUUUUAAAGCGUUGUGUAGGUACAAAUACGAAAUCAUCGAGCAAUAUUAAAGUUUAACAACAGCAUAAAAAAGGACAUUACACGCUGUAUCUUUUUGCUAAAUACACAUGUAUAUGUUUUAUAAAUCAAAAAGUGACAAUUAAAUUAGACACGAAGCAGUAAAGUGCAUAUAUUUAUUACAAGGAACUUAAAACGUAUCCGAAAAUAAAGUUUGUUAGAUUGUUUUCGCGAGUGACUUGAUUAGAAGAAAUAAAUGUUUGUUCGUACUAUGUUGUGUAAAAAAUGUAUUACGCAAUCGAACUGUUUUGAAGAGAAAAGUCAGUCGCACCAACCAUAACAACAGCUAUAAAGACGUGUUCCAAUGAUCUUUAUUGAACGUACAAACAAAAAAAUAAUAAUCAUAAAAUACUUUGCCAUCUGAGCAGUGGACCGACAGUUUUUUUCUGUUUUGUUCUCUUCCUCAAUUGUAAUAAUAGAUUUAACGAAACAAGGAACCUAAAAACCACGCAACUGUAAUGAACGUGUGUCGGCUUUUAUAUACACGAUAAUGACGAGUUGACGCGCGACAUGUUUUUGUUUACGCAAUUGGUAGAGUGAAUCUCAUUUGAAAAUCUGAUUUAAUUGAUGGUAAUAAAAGUUGGACGGCGCUCAAUCAAGUGACAUUGUUAAUAAACGUGCUAGGCUAUAAACAAUUACUCACUAUGAAUAUGGUAGCCAAUUGAAAAAUUAGCACGUUUGGACCAUUUGAAUCUUUUGUCAACUUUUUGAUUGAUUUAUAAAGGGCACUUUAAAAGGUGACAUAAUGCCGGAAAUAAUUGACAACAAUAACAUGAAUGAUGCCACACUAUCGCCAAUGCAGCAGUUCUAUCACAACAAAACCGUAUUUUUGACGGGUGGUACUGGUUUCUUGGGCAAAAUUUGUAUGGAAAAACUACUUCGGAGCUGCCAAAUUGAUACCAUUUAUGUUUUAAUACGAUCGAAAAAAGGCAAAGACAUUGCAACCCGUAUGGAAGAUAUAUGUAACGAUGUGGUUUUCUCGAAGUUGAAGCAGCAAGACAAAGAAGAAAAAUUCCGUCACAAAAUUGUGCCGAUCGAAGGUGAUUGCAGUUUACCCGGUCUUGGUAUGUCCGCAUCCGAUCGUCGAAAACUCAUCGAAAACUGUCAAAUUAUUUUGCAUGUCGCUGCCACUGUACGUUUUGAUGAAAAACUUAAAUUGGCAUUGGCCAUUAAUGUGAAUGGAACAAAAGAAAUAAUGCAGUUGUCGAAACAGACAAAAUCUUUGGUGGCAUGUGUUCAUGUUUCAACCGCAUAUGCUAACUGCAAUCGAUCAAACAUUGAUGAACGCAUUUAUCGCACGAAAUUAAGUGGCAGUAAUGCCAUUAAAAUGGCCGAAUGCUUCGAUGAAAAAACACUAGAACAAAUUACACCGACUUUGAUUGGCGAUUGGCCAAAUACAUACACAUUCACAAAAGCGUUGGCUGAAGAUUUGGUAAAAUCGAUGUGCAAAAGAGACAACGAUGGUGAAAAUAAUAAUUUGACUGAAAAAACGAUGAACAAAAUAAUCAACACAGAUAAAAUUAUUGAAAAUAAUAACUUCGAAGAAGUUAAAUCAACUCAGCAAGAUGAAAUGCUUCCUGUUACCAUUUUCCGUCCGGCCAUUGUUAUUCCAACAGUCAAAGAACCAAUCGUUGGUUGGAUUGAUAAUAUGUACGGGCCAACGGGUAUUAUUGUUGGUGUUGGUGCCGGUCUAUUGCGUGUGUUCUAUGGUAAAAAAGAGAAUAACGCUGAACUUGUACCAGUCGAUAUGGUUGUUAAUGGAAUUUUGGCCAGUGCAUAUGAUAUUGCACACAAUUAUCGCAAUUAUUCAGAACCACCGGUUUAUAAUUAUGUUGCAUCACCACAAAAUCCCAUCACAUGGAACGAUUACUGUGAAUAUGGUGUUGAACACGGAGCAAAAAUGCCGAUGAUGAAAUCAAUUUGGUACUAUACUUUCAAUAUGUCAGCAAAUCGAUUCUUGGUUAGCAUUUUAACAUUCCUCUAUCAUACAUUGCCUGCUUUUCUUAUCGACACUGGUUUGGUAGUGAUCCAACGUAGACCAAAAAUGUUGCAAGUGUACCGAAAAAUUCAUCGUUUCUGUGACGUUAUUUACUAUUUCACUAAUGGCCAAUGGUAUUUCACAAAUCAAAAUGUACAGCAGCUGUGGAAUAAAUUAACACCACAAGAUCAACAAUUGUUCUUCUUCAAUAUGGCUGAAUUGAACUGGAGCGAAGCGAUUAAUAUGUCAAUGUUUGGCAUUCGCACAUAUUUAAUGAAAGAAGAUCCAAACAAUAUUCCAGAAGCAUUGAAACGCACACAAAGACUGAAAAUUCUACAUUUUGCAACAGUAUACUCGAUAUACACCGCACUAUUGUACUUUUUGUACAUGAUAUUAUCGAAAUUUUUCUUGCCAAUACUUUCAACGUCUAAUAAAAUAUGAUUUGAUGUAUUGUAUGGUUAGGUAAAAAUAAAUAAACAAUAUAAAAUCAAACAAUGUGGACAAGGGACACAAAAGCGAAGUCGAAAUCACCCAAUAAAUCAAACAAAUGUUUUGCAAUUUGGUUUGGGGUUAAAAUACAGUGCGAUACAUCGAACGUAAAUUAUAUAGAUACAUUAGACAACCUUUUUUUUUUGGGUUAUUUCUUUGAAUUAGAAUUGCUCAUGAUUUUUUUUUUUUUAUUCCUUAAGUCAUACUUUUUUUCGUAUUAUAACUCGUAUUCAAUAAGAAUAAAGUUUCGUAUCUCAUUUAAUAAGGUGUCCAUUUCGAUCAUAUUGCGCAUGCUACACAAAAUAGACUGAAAAAAAACUAAAUUUGAUUGCUGACACUCAAUCUAUUCAGCCUCUUGUCAAAAAUUGAAAUUAAAAGAAGAACCAACAAUGCAAUUCUACAUUCAUUUUUAUUUAAAAAAAAAACCUUCAAUUCAAAUUGAAAUGAAAAUCUGCAAAAUACAAUAAAUUUGGUCUAUUAGUAUAGUCUGUGGUGACCAACACAGAUUUUAUGACCAUCGCAUACGCAGCAUAAUUUGCUAUGCCGCACCUGUUCUGAUGUCUUUCAAUCUUCAUGUAGCCAUUUUCACCCCACCGAUCGCCCCACCAAUUCUGCAAUAUGAAAUAGUCAGGAGUAUAACCAACGGCAAGCAUUGCAUGGUUCACCGUUUUAUCUGUACAUGAUGGAUCCGAAUAAAUUCCAUGUGAAUAUAGUUGAAAUGACGAUGGUCUUGCAUUAAUCGAUAUGGGAACUAUAAGAUUUUUUUUUUAUUCAAGUGUGCUUCAAUAAAUGAUAAAUAAUAAUUCUUAAAAAAGGGAAA